AACGAACGCUGGCGGCGUGGAUAAGACAUGCAAGUCGAGCGAUUGUUAGCUGGUAGCAAUAUCGGCUAACGAGAGCGGCGCAAGGGUGCGUAACACGUGGGCAAUCUGCCGUGAAGUUUGGGAUAAUCCCGCGAAAGCGGGACUAAUACCGGAUGUGACAGUUUGGUGGCAUCACCGAGUUGUCAAAGUUGGGGACCGCAAGGCCUGACGCUUCACGAUGAGCCCGCGGCCUAUCAGGUAGUUGGCGGGGUAACGGCCCACCAAGCCUAAGACGGGUAGCUGGUCUGAGAGGAUGACCAGCCACACUGGAACUGAGACACGGUCCAGACACCUACGGGUGGCAGCAGUCGAGAAUUUUUCACAAUGGGGGAAACCCUGAUGGAGCGACGCCGCGUGGGGGAUGAAUGGCUUCGGCCCGUAAACCCCUGUCAUUCGCGAUCAAACCUUAUUAUUUAAAAGAUGAUGAGCUGAUAGUAGCGGAAGAGGAAGGGACGGCUAACU
rnacentral:rRNA from 1 species